rnacentral:rRNA from 1 species
ACACUCCUACGGGAGGCAGCAGUGGGGAAUAUUGCACAAUGGGCGCAAGCCUGAUGCAGCGACGCCGCGUGGGGGAUGAAGGCCUUCGGGUUGUAAACUCCUUUCGCUAGGGACGAAGCUUUUUUGUGACGGUACCUAGAUAAGAAGCACCGGCUAACUACGUGCCAGCAGCCGCGGUAAUACGUAGGGUGCGAGCGUUGUCCGGAAUUACUGGGCGUAAAGGGCUCGUAGGUGGUUUGUCGCGUCGUCUGUGAAAUUCUGGGGCUUAACUCCGGGCGUGCAGGCGAUACGGGCAUAACUUGAGUGCUGUAGGGGUAACUGGAAUUCCUGGUGUAGCGGUGAAAUGCGCAGAUAUCAGGAGGAACACCGAUGGCGAAGGCAGGUUACUGGGCAGUUACUGACGCUGAGGAGCGAAAGCAUGGGUAGCGAACAGGAUUAGAAACCCGUGUAGUCCCA